UAAAGUUUCUAAACAGCUAGGAAGACCCUAUAGGGAUACUUCUCUGAGUUACUAUUCAAAUUACUAGAAGAAACUUCAAACGUGCAAUAAUUGCUCCUAUUCGCCAUAUAAUUUCCUAAUAUUAGAAAUGAGAAGGGCGCCUGGGUGGCUCAGUCACUUAAGCCACCGUCUCUUGAUUUUAGCUUGGGUCAUGAUCUCACGGUUCCUGAGUUCGAGUCCCGAAUCCAUUUCUGUGCCCUCAGCUAGAGCCAGCUUAGGAUUCUCUCUCUCCCUCUCUCUCUCUGCCCCUCCCCCCCUCUCUCUCUCAAAAUAAAUAAAUAAAUAAACUAUAAAAAAAGGAAUGAGAAAAAAGAACUAGAUCAUAGAAUUUUCUAGCUGGCUACUGGUAUUAAUACCCAAAUUCGCAAUUUUUCAUGCAGAUGUCUUUAUCAGGUACCUGUUCUGACUACUGUUUUUUUUUUUUGUUUUUUUUUUUUGUUUUUUUAUUAUUAUUUUAUUUUUGGUAGAGUGAAAGCGGGCCAGUGGCAGAGGAUCCAAAGCUGGCUCUGAGCUGACAGGCUGACAGCAGUGAGCGGAUGUGGGGCUCCAACUCAAGAACCCGGGGAUCAUGACCUGAGCCCAAGUCCGAUGCUCAACCGACUGAGCCACCCAGGAGCAUCCCCCAGACUAUUGUUUUUAAUGUUACAUUUAGCUCCUACCCCCUUUACUUUGUUUGUGGAUCAGAUUUCUCAUCUUUAUCCCAAACAAAAUUCCAGGCUUAUCUUUGCAUUACUAACAUCUGAUGAAAGUGCUCAGCUAAACACAAGAACAGAAGGACCCCCUACCUUACGUCCUCACCCUUCAGCCUCACAGAAAAAUGGCAGAAGCUUUGAAGUCGGAGCUUUUUCAUGAAGAUCUUCUGGUUCUAAAGAGGGCCCGCUUCCACAUAAAUCCCUAAAAAUGGAAAAGAAGUCUGAAGAUGCAUUCUUCCUUUCUACAGAGAAAUUUCCCCAGGGCUGGGGCGUGGAGGGUGAGGUGGGUGAUGGGAGAGUCUGGUGCAAUGAAAUUUACUUCGUG
rnacentral:lncRNA from 1 species